GUCCUAGCCUAACGAUGCUCAUUAGAUGUGGGAGGUAUCGACCCUUCCGCGUCGUAGCUAACGCGUUAAUGAGCCGCCUGGGAGUACGGCCGCAAGGUUGAACUCAAGGAAUUGACGGGCCCGCACAAGCGGUGGAACAUGUGGUUUAAUUCGACGCAACGCGAAGAACCUUACCUGGGCUUGAACUACCGGUGGUAAGUCCUUGGAAACAGGGGCUGACCCGCAAGGGAGCCGGCAGAGGUGCUGCAUGGUUGUCGU
rnacentral:rRNA from 1 species